rnacentral:rRNA from 1 species
GACGAACGCUGGCGGCGUGCUUAACACAUGCAAGUCGAACGGAAAGGCCCUGCUUUUGUGGGGUGCUCGAGUGGCGAACGGGUGAGUAACACGUGAGUAACCUGCCCUUGACUUUGGGAUAACUUCAGGAAACUGGGGCUAAUACCGGAUAGGAGCUCCUGCUGCAUGGUGGGGGUUGGAAAGUUUCGGCGGUUGGGGAUGGACUCGCGGCUUAUCAGCUUGUUGGUGGGGUAGUGGCUUACAAGGCUUUGACGGGUAGCCGGCCUGAGAGGGUGACCGGCCACAUUGGGACUGAGAUACGGCCCAGACUCCUACGGGAGGCAGCAGUGGGGAAUAUUGCACAAUGGGCGGAAGCCUGAUGCAGCAACGCCGCGUGCGGGAUGACGGCCUUCGGGUUGUAAACCGCUUUCGCCUGUGACGAAGCGUGAGUGGCGGUAAUGGGUAAAGAAGCACCGGCUAACUACGUG